rnacentral:lncRNA from 1 species
GAACAUAGCUUAAAGAGAGAAAGAAAAAUAGCCAAAGAAGAUGAAGACUAUCACCUUUAAAUCCACUGUACAUUAUGAGGAAAACGAUGAGUCGAAGGAAGAAGAAGAUGAAGAGGAGAGUGAAGAUGCUGAGGAUACGGCACUACUUACAAGAAAAUUCAAAAAAAUUUUCAUAGAGAGAAGUAUGAAGAAGAAAAAAAAUGAAGAAAAAAAAGAAAGAAGGAGUGUCAUAUGCUACCAUUGCAACAAGAGAAGACACUACAAGCUGAGUUAUCUCUUUCUCAAGAAGCGCCCCAAA